rnacentral:rRNA from 1 species
GAAACUAACAGGAUUCCCCUAGUAACGGCGAGUGAAGCGGGAAUAGCUCAAAUUUGAAAUCUUUCAGCUUUGCUGAACGAAUUGUAGUUUAUAGAGGCAUUUUCGGGGAUGAUUGAGGUAUAAGUCCUUUCGAAUAAGGCAUCAUAGAAGGUGAUAAUCCUGUUCAUGAUCUCAAAUUUCAUCCCUAUGUGAUAUGUCUUCGAAGAGUCGGGUUGUUUGGGAAUGCAGCCCUAAAUGGGUGGUAAAUACCAUCUAAAGCUAAAUAUUGGUAGGAGACCGAUAGCGCACAAGUACCGUGAGGGAAAGAUGAAAAGAACUUUGAAAAAAGAGUUAAAAGUACGUGAAAUUGUCAAUAGGGAACGGUUUAGAACUAUUGUUUGUGUUAAUUGUUCCAAAUUUCCAUUUCUUUUGGAGGUUGCACCGCAGUUAACACAGGUCAACAUCAGUUUUGUUUGGAGUAAAAAACCAAUGUUUUAUAUCUUCGGAUGUAAGCUUUGGUGCUGCUCUGGGUGAGACUGAGGACUGCAGCGUAGCCUUAAGGUUACUAGGCAUUCCUGUAAAAAUGCAGUUGUACAUCAACUUGUUGAUUGCGAUUGUAGUUUUGCAGUGUGUUUAGUAUUUUCUCUACUAUGCUUAGGAUGUUGACAAAAUGGUUUUAAGCCACCCGUCUUGAAACACGGACCAAGGAGUCUAACAUAUAUGCGAGUGUUUGGGUGACAAACCCAUACGCGAAAUGAAAGUGAAUAAGAUGGGAUCCGUAAGGUGCACCAUCGACCGGUCUAGAGAUUUAUCAAAAGAUCUGAGUUAGAGCAUAUCUGUUAGGACCCGAAAGAUGGUGAACUAAGCCUGAAUAGGGUGAAGCCAGAGGAAACUCUGGUGGAAGCUCGUAGCGGUUCUGACGUGCAAAUCGAUCGUCGAAUUUGGGUUUAGGGGCGAAAGACUAAUCGAACCAUC